rnacentral:rRNA from 1 species
ACGGCUCAGUAACACGUCGAUAAUCUGCCCUAAGGUGGGGGAUAACCUCGGGAAACUGAGGGUAAUACCCUAUAUGAGAAGGGUUAUGGAAAAAACUUCUCGAAAAAGUAAUGCCUUAGGAUGAGUCGGCGGCCGAUUAGGCUGUUGGUGGGGUAAUGGCCCACCAAACCUAUGAUCGGUAGGGGCCCUGAAAGGGGUAGCCUCGAGAAGGACACUGAGGUACUGGUCCUAGCCCUACGGGGUGCAGCAGGCGCGAAAACUUUACACUACACGAAAGUGUGAUAAGGGAAUCCCAAGUGCUUAUACACAUGUAUAGGCUUUUGCCAAGUGUAAAUAACUUGGCGAAUAAGUGGUGGGCAAGACGGGUGCCAGCAGCCGCGGUAACACCCGCGCCACGAGUGGUGAUCGGAAUUAUUGGGCCUAAAGCGUCCGUAGCCGGCUUUGCAAAUCCUUUGUGAAAUCGUUGCGCUCAACGUAACGGCGUGCAAGGGACACUACAAAGCUAGAGACCAGGAGGGGCAAGAGGUAUUCUGUGGGGAGCGGUAAAAUGCUAUAAUCCACGGAGGACCACCGAUGGCGAAGGCAUCUUGCCAGAAUGGAUCUGACGGUGAGGGACGAAAGCCAGGGGAGCAAACCGGAUUAGAUACCCGAGUAGUCCUGGCUGUAAACUCUGCUAGCAAGGUGUUGCGCUUUCCUCGUGAAAGCGCAGUAUCGAAGAGAAGUCGUUAAGCUAGCCGCCUGGGAAGUAUGGUCGCAAGGCUGAAACUUAAAGGAAUUGGCGGGGGAGCAC